CCCUACUCCAAAAGACAGUAAAAAUGGUUGGGGGGAAAUACAGUUCCUUUUGACUUCAGAGGCAGUAUUUUCAACCCAUUUUUUUACUUCUUUGAAUGGCCGAUGCCAGGAGCCACCCACUAGGGAUCAGAAGCUGGAGCAACUUGAUUAGUAGCUGUUGGCAGAGGGAAGAGGGGCUGGAAAAGGUUUGCUGAGAGAGUUCUCUGGCUGCUGAUGACAGCUACAGAGCAGCACCAGAUGCAAAUAUUGGCGCAACUUCCUCUGCUAGCAGCAGUACAGAUCUACUGCAAAGGCAGGCUGCCGAGUGUUUCCUUCGUCCAUUAUAGAACUUCUGCUGUCAACAGAAACAGCACUACAUCCCUUGAAGCACUCCCAGCACUUCAUCAAUCAUCUCCUGACUUGAGGCCCCUGGUCUUUCUGUGGCAGCUAGUAAGAAUCAAACCCAUUUUUCAAGGAAAGCUGCUGGAGAGAUAAGCAGACCUGCGUGGCUAAUCGGCUUCAAUUUGUAGUGUGCUUCCAGACAAAGAGAUCAGAUCUGCAAGUCACACCCUCCCCACUUUGAUACCAAACUCUAGUUGGGCAAUAAAA